rnacentral:rRNA from 1 species
AAGUCGAACGGUAACAGGAAGCAGCUUGCUGCUUUGCUGACGAGUGGCGGACGGGUGAGUAAUGUCUGGGAAACUGCCUGAUGGAGGGGGAUAACUACUGGAAACGGUGGCUAAUACCGCAUAACGUCGCAAGACCAAAGAGGGGGACCUUCGGGCCUCUUGCCAUCAGAUGUGCCCAGAUGGGAUUAGCUUGUUGGUGAGGUAACGGCUCACCAAGGCGACGAUCCCUAGCUGGUCUGAGAGGAUGACCAGCCACACUGGAACUGAGACACGGUCCAGACUCCUACGGGAGGCAGCAGUGGGGAAUAUUGCACAAUGGGCGCAAGCCUGAUGCAGCCAUGCCGCGUGUAUGAAGAAGGCCUUCGGGUUGUAAAGUACUUUCAGCGGGGAGGAAGGUGUUGUGGUUAAUAACCGCAGCAAUUGACGUUACCCGCAGAAGAAGCACCGGCUAACUCCGUGCCAGCAGCCGCGGUAAUACGGAGGGUGCAAGCGUUAAUCGGAAUUACUGGGCGUAAAGCGCACGCAGGCGGUCUGUCAAGUCGGAUGUGAAAUCCCCGGGCUCAACCUGGGAACUGCAUUCGAAACUGGCAGGCUUGAGUCUUGUAGAGGGGGGUAGAAUUCCAGGUGUAGCGGUGAAAUGCGUAGAGAUCUGGAGGAAUACCGGUGGCGAAGGCGGCCCCCUGGACAAAGACUGACGCUCAGGUGCGAAAGCGUGGGGAGCAAACAGGAUUAGAUACCCUGGUAGUCCACGCCGUAAACGAUGUCUACUUGGAGGUUGUGCCCUUGAGGCGUGGCUUCCGGAGCUAACGCGUUAAGUAGACCGCCUGGGGAGUACGGCCGCAAGGUUAAAACUCAAAUGAAUUGACGGGGGCCCGCACAAGCGGUGGAGCAUGUGGUUUAAUUCGAUGCAACGCGAAGAACCUUACCUGGUCUUGACAUCCACAGAAAAUACGUCUUUCCAGAGAUGGAUUGGUGCCUUCGGGAACUGUGAGACAGGUGCUGCAUGGCUGUCGUCAGCUCGUGUUGUGAAAUGUUGGGUUAAGUCCCGCAACGAGCGCAACCCUUAUCCUUUGUUGCCAGCGGUCCGGCCGGGAACUCAAAGGAGACUGCCAGUGAUAAACUGGAGGAAGGUGGGGAUGACGUCAAGUCAUCAUGGCCCUUACGACCAGGGCUACACACGUGCUACAAUGGCGCAUACAAAGAGAAGCGACCUCGCGAGAGCAAGCGGACCUCAUAAAGUGCGUCGUAGUCCGGAUUGGAGUCUGCAACUCGACUCCAUGAAGUCGGAAUCGCUAGUAAUCGUGGAUCAGAAUGCCACGGUGAAUACGUUCCCGGGCCUUGUACACACCGCCCGUCACACCAUGGGAGUGGGUUGCAAAAGAAGUAGGUAGCUUAACCUUCGGGGGGGCGCUUACCACG